GACGAACGCUGGCGGCGUGCCUAAUACAUGCAAGUUGAGCGAUGAAGCUUGGUGCUUGCACCAAUUUGAAGAGCAGCGAACGGGUGAGUAACGCGUGGGGAAUCUGCCUUUGAGCGGGGGACAACAUUUGGAAACGAAUGCUAAUACCGCAUAACAACUUUAAACAUAAGUUUUAAGUUUGAAAGAUGCAAUUGCAUCAUUCAAAGAUGAUCCCGCGUUGUAUUAGCUAGUUGGUGAGGUAAAGGCUCACCAAGGCGAUGAUACAUAGCCGACCUGAGAGGGUGAUCGGCCACAUUGGGACUGAGACACGGCCCAAACUCCUACGGGAGGCAGCAGUAGGGAAUCUUCGGCAAUGGACGAAAGUCUGACCGAGCAACGCCGCGUGAGUGAAGAAGGUUUUCGGAUCGUAAAACUCUGUUGGUAGAGAAGAACGUUGGUGAGAGUGGAAAGCUCAUCAAGUGACGGUAACUACCCAGAAAGGGACGGCUAACUACGUG
rnacentral:rRNA from 1 species